GACGAACGCUGGCGGCGUGCCUAAUACAUGCAAGUAGAACGCAGAUGCGCACGGGUGAGUAUCGCGUAGGUAACUGCCUCAUAGCGGGGGAUAACUAUUUGAAACGAUAGCUAAUACCGCAUACUGUGAGAUGGACCUGCGUUGUAUUAGGUAGUUGGUGGGGUAAAGGCGGACCAAGGCGACGAUACAUAGCCGGCCUGAGAGGGUGAACGGCCACACGGGGACUGGUAAACGGGCCAGACUCCUACGGGAGGGAGCAGUAGGGAAUCUUCGGCAAUGGACGGAAGUCUGACCGGGCAACGCCGCGUGAGUGAAGAAGGUUUUCGGGUCGUAAAGCUCUGUUGUUAGAGAAGCGGUACCUAAACAGAAAGGGACGGCUAACUACGUGCCAGCAGCCGCGGUAAUAC
rnacentral:rRNA from 1 species